GUCCGGACAGCCCGCAGGCUCGAGCGCGCCGCAGCCGCUCGGCGUAUCCGGGUCCACCGGCGCAGGAAGCAGCGGCGCCGGGGCUACGGCAAGCGGAGAGGGACUAGCAGUACCUGUCCUGCAACGCCCGUCACAGCCGUGCGAGGUCGCCUGAAGUUAAAAUGCUCCAGUUGGCGGAGGCAAGGGGCGGGGUUAUACCCAGGCUGCGCGUUGGACGGGUCUGGGGCGGAAUCCAGAGAGCUGAGGACUGCCUCAGAGUCGCCUCUGGUGGCCUCGGCUACGAGACUUGGGACCGCUUGGUCCUAACGAGGGAGGAGUGUGCGCGCAAGCAGGGAGAGCUGGAGUUACGCAGCCUGGUUAGGAAAAGCUCGGCGGACGUUAUCGAGUCCUCUGGCUCGUAGCCACGUCUUUCUGGGGACCAGGGGACCAGCCCCAAGGCCUAAAACACGAGUAUCACUGUAGUUCACAGAAGGAAAGCUGAAAUGAGAAAUGGUUUGUCUGCCUGCCUGUUGCCUGUUGGAUCCUCUGGAACUGGAGUUAGGGAGUUAUGCUGGGAACCCAGGUCUUCUACAAGAAAAAAUACUCUCAACUGUUAAGACAUCUCAUCUUGCCAUCAACUGUAUAACUGCUUGCUUGCCAUUCCAAACAAAUGAAAACUCAGGCUGUGGGAUGAAGACAUCUGUGCAGGUCUAUGCUGUAGGAAGUACUGCAGCUUGUAUGUAACCACCUACUGGGAAGCCCUCUCUCGUUCCCCUUGCACCAUUCCUGCCAGCUGCUCUUUUGGAUUGCGUGAUUCAACCGGUCAACCGGAGAAUUCUGAUUUGUGAGUUUACCCCUUAAUA